AUUGAACGCUGGCGGCAGGCCUAACACAUGCAAGUCGAGCGGAUGAAGGGAGCUUGCUCCUGGAUUCAGCGGCGGACGGGUGAGUAAUGCCUAAGAAUCUGCCUGGUAGUGGGGGAUAACGUCCGGAAACGGGCGCUAAUACCGCAUACGUCCUGAGGGAGAAAGUGGGGGAUCUUCGGACCUCACGCUAUCAGAUGAGCCUAGGUCGGAUUAGCUAGUUGGUGGGGUAAAGGCCUACCAAGGCGACGAUCCGUAACUGGUCUGAGAGGAUGAUCAGUCACACUGGAACUGAGACACGGUCCAGACUCCUACGGGGGGCAGCAGUGGGGAAUAUUGGACAAUGGGCGAAAGCCUGAUCCAGCCAUGCCGCGUGUGUGAAGAAGGUCUUCGGAUUGUAAAGCACUUUAAGUUGGGAGGAAGGGCAGUAAGUUAAUACCUUGCUGUUUUGACGUUACCAACAGAAUAAGCACCGGCUAACUUCGUG
rnacentral:rRNA from 1 species